UUAGUUAUUAUUAUUAUCCAGCUUGACUCACGCUACUACGUAAUGUACGACAAGAAGUCUAAUCAUUACCAACGAUCGACCAUGGUCACAGAAAAUUAGAAAAAUAUAUUCGUUAAAUAAAUAUCUGCAAUAAGGAUUAUCCUUGAAUGUUUCUCGAACAACUACAUAAUUGAACAAUUUUCAUAAAUUUUCUUUAUCGAAACGAUAAUACGAGCAUAGUUGUGUACAAAACAACGUAGUUCCCAACUUUAUCUCUCGUAGUUAAACAAUUUUUAAACAAGACCGAGAUAUGUCUAAUACUAUCAAAAUUUUAUCAAUUUUAUGAAAAUAAACGUGUUUCUAUAAAGGUUGAGAAACACUGCUUUAAAUAAUGAACAUGGCUACGUUUAGAGUCAUACGUUUUGGUUUAACAAAAAAAGGAAAAACUUUUAUCUUACCGAACGAUACGUAACACGUGUAAUACGAGCAAGUUAAAUAAAUUCAUUUAAAUACGCUGACAAAUAGAUUAAAAUUCACAAACAUAUGCAUCCUAGAGGAAGUUCUGAAAGAUGUUCAUCGAUGUUCAAAGAUUGAUCGAGAGAGAAGAAAUCGAUAGAGGGGAUGAAUUCGUAGCUCGAGGCGUUAACGAGGGUUUAGCCUGGGUCUGUUAAGGCCCCUCUUUGUACAAAAGCGAGGAAAUUCAGUGAAAGAGGGAUCAGUGACAGUGGUUUCGAGGUACAGUGACGUAGUAGGAUCGUUGGUAACCUGGAGAUAUUAAAAAAAGAUGUUUAUAUAUUCUCUCGAUGCGAGAUAAUCAAGUUUUACGUUUAAAUGGUAGAAUGAUUUCAAAGAAAUUCAAACGUUGAAGGAUUGAUAGAUCUAGGUGAUCAGAGUGCAGCUAGUGAGAUGUCAAGGAAAUGGUGGUGGUGGUGGUG